GACGUAGGGGGCGAGCGUUGUCCGGAUUUAUUGGGCGUAAAGCGUGCGUAGGCGGCUGCGCAAGUCGGGUGUGAAACCCCGGGGCUCAACCCCGGAACUGCAUCCGAUACUGCGUGGCUAGAGGUAGGUAGGGGAGAUCGGAAUUCCUGGUGUAGCGGUGAAAUGCGCAGAUAUCAGGAGGAACACCAAUGGCGAAAGCAGCUCUCUGGGACGGUACUGACGCUGAGACGCGAAAGCGUGGGGAGCGAACAGG
rnacentral:rRNA from 1 species